rnacentral:rRNA from 1 species
AUGUGGUCGCCCCCGAUCGAAAGGGACGCCGCUGGAGCUGCCGCGGGAUAUGGUGGUGGUCCGCUGAUGGAGCUGGGAGCAGACGCGGAGGCAAUGGGCCCGACUCUCUGUGUGCAAAUCAUGAUGACUUGGAGCACUGUCAUGGGAAGUUUUUAUUCAUCUUUACCUAUAUUUAUUGGAUUAGGUUCCAUUGGCAGGUUAAAGACGAUGUACCCUUUUCCCGUUUGGAUACCAACCAUUGCAUUCAGCAAUAAUUUUUUGCUUACUACAAACCGUAAGAAGCUGAAGCUUACUGAUUUGGGGCUUGCACGAGAGGAAACUGUAACUGAAAUGAUGAUGACUGAAACUGGGACAUACCGAUAUGGACACAGAGGUUAUAAAUCACUCUUUUCCACACUAGAUAGUCAAUAUUAA